UACGUAGGUCCCGAGCGUUGUCCGGAUUUAUUAGGCGUAAAGCGAGCGCAGGUGGUUUAUUAAGUCUGGUGUAGAAGGCAGUGGCUCAACCAUUGUAUGCAUUGGAAACUGGUAGACUUGAGUGCAGGAGAGGAGAGUGGAAUUCCAUGUGUAGCGGUGAAAUGCGUAGAUAUAUGGAGGAACACCGGUGGCGAAAGCGGCUCUCUGGCCUGUAACUGACACUGAGGCUCGAAAGCGUGGGGAGCAAACAGG
rnacentral:rRNA from 1 species